GACGAACGCUGGCGGCGUGCUUAACACAUGCAAGUCGAACGGUGAAGCGCCUUCCUUUUUGGUGGGUGUGGAUGAGUGGCGAACGGGUGAGUAACACGUGAGUAACCUGCCCCCUUCUUCUGGAUAACCGCAUGAAAGUGUGGCUAAUACGGAAUAUUCUGGGUCUGUCGCAUGAUGGGUCUGGGAAAGAUAUUGUUUCGGUGGGGGAUGGGCUCGCGGCCUAUCAGCUUGUGGGUGGGGUGCUGGCCUACCAAGGCGGUGACGUGUAGCCGGCCUGAGAGGGUGGACGGUCACACUGGGACUGAGACACGGCCCAGACUCCUACGGGAGGCAGCAGUGGGGAAUAUUGCACAGUGGGCGCAAGCCUGAUGCAGCGACGCCGCGGGAGGGAUGGAGGCCUUCGGGUUGUGAACCUCUUUCGCCAGUGAAGCAGGCCUGCCUCGUAUGUGGGUGGGUUGACGGUAGCUGGAUAAGAAGCGCCGGCUAACUACGUG
rnacentral:rRNA from 1 species